UCAUAGGUAGGAGUAUGAACAGAGGUUAGACGUACGCUUUCGUCAAGUCGCAGGGGCCUAGGGGGGACAUACUUGUGUAUUAGGGAGGACAGGUAGGUUGGAGCAGCAUUAUGCAGAGACUUAGUUUACUUUUGCAGAGGAGAGAGCCAAACUGUAGAAGCGCAGCAUACAUUUAUAGUGGAGGAAGCCAGAUGCAGAGUGAAACAUUCUCCAGCAGCGAUAAGCAGUUCUGGAACAUUUUCGGAGGUAUUGGGUAAGCUUGGUGUGCCAGGGUUGUAAUUGGGUUCGCUUGCUG